AGCAGCCGCGGUAAUUCCAGCUCCAAUAGCGUAUAUUAAAGUUGUUGCAGUUAAAAGCUCGUAGUUGAAUUUCGGGAUCAAUUAAUUGGUCGUGCCUCUGGUACGUACUGGUUUUAUUGGUUUCUCCCUUCUGACGAACCAUGAUGUCAUUAAUUUGGUGUCUUGGGGGAAUCAGGACUGUUACUUUGAAAAAAUUAGAGUGUUUAAAGCAGGCUCACGCUUGAAUACAUUAGCAUGGAAUAAUGAAAUAGGACGUUUGAUUCUAUUUUGUUGGUUUCUAGGAUUGACGUAAUGAUUAAUAGGGAUAGUUGGGGGGCAUUAGUAUUCAAUUGUCAGAGGUGAAAUUCUUGGAUUUAUUGAAGACUAACUACUGCGAAAGCAUUUGCCAAGGAUGUUUUCAUUAAUCAAGAACGAAAGUUAGGGGAUCGAAGACGAUCAGAUACCGUCGUAGUCUUAACCAUAAACUAUGCCGACUAGGAAUCAGACGAUGUUAAUUUUUUCAAUGACUCG
rnacentral:misc_RNA from 1 species